UCAGUUCUUCAACAGGAUUCAGAAAUUCGUAAGGCGGGCUACAGAGUGAUAAGUGGGUUGGUGAUGCGACCUUGGUGCCUGAUGGAGGUUAUUUCCAGACGAGAAAUAAUAGAUAUAGUAACUGAUGCAUUUAAAGAGACAGAAAAGAUAGGUAUGGAAGCUAGACACAAAUGUUGCCAGUCAAUCUACAAAGUUUUCACCUCAUCUAGUAAACUGAUAGCUGACAAUGCAUUUUCGGGUAUAGCUACAAAGCUGGAGCAAGCUAUCAGCAGAGGUCCUUAUCUAGGAAGAAAGCUUUCUGAAGCACAACCUGCAGUGAUGACUGAGCAGAGAUUUUAGUCUUCUCAACAUCUUAGAAACUAUCUUACAAGUGUUAAUUUCAGCCAUGACGUAUCAAUUUUAAGAUGUUAACCCCUGGUAGUACAUAUUUUAUCAAGUUGCUUGUCACUUCCCUUGUAAAAUGUUCCCUUUUCUGUAGGCAAACAGCAACAAUGAUUGUAUACUAUGUGUGUAGGCAUUUGGUGCUAACUGCUAAAGUUGGGUUUUAGCUAUUCGAG
rnacentral:misc_RNA from 1 species